rnacentral:lncRNA from 1 species
UUUUUUUUUUUUUUUAGCCUCUACCUAAUAUUCCAUGCAUGCCUGUAACACAGUUAAUUCAACCACGCCCCUCCCACUGCCACCCUCAGGGUCCCAGCUCUAGGGGACAUGGGUCAAAAGGUUUUCACGGUAAAUGGUGCCUCUGCACAAUUCCAGGGGAUGCCAUCCACACCCAGAAUGCAGCAGCCCUGCCUGAUGAACAGAUAAGGCGGCUCCAGUUUUUACCAUACAAACAAUUCUGCACCGAGCAUGCUCACUCAUGUCUCUUUGUGCACAUGUGUGAGUGGUUCUCCAGGCAUUGAUGCUUCAGGGUGGAGCUGGCGGUCAGAAGUGCAUGCGUCCUACAUUUCGGGGACCCUGCCAUGGUGUGGGAAGGCAGCCUGGGGUUCCUAAGCCCCCUCAGCCUCUGCUGAACCAGGUCGCCUAGCAUAUAUCCAUCAUGUGGCUGCCGGCUGGGCCGCGGCUUCCAGGAAAUUGAUUGCAAAAACCUGCGAUUGUCAGUGGCUCACACACUGGAGGCCAUCCAGGGAGUAGAUUAAAUUGUAUGAGAAAAUAGUACAGGGCUCAAGACCGCUCCUAAUGGAGACCCCUCAGUGACCUUUCUGGAGACGUUAAAAGAACACAGGCAGACACACUCUCACCCUUGCUCACCCACCCGCUAGCCUGCCUGCUAGGAGCAUAGCCCCUCUGCCAUUGGAGGAGCCGCUCCUCAUUAGCAGGAAAUGGGAGGCCUGGUCCAGGCACGACAAGGAGGCCAGCAGGGACACCUGCUUCCCUGCAGGGUGGACCCAGGUUGACCAACAGGCCUUAGCUGCUCAAGGACACUGAGCCCCCUUCUCCUCCAUGCUAGCCCUCUUCUACUUCCCAUGCAGCCACCACUGUAGACCCCUGCUCUGCACCCCCAGGAGGAGUGGGACUGCUUCAAGAGCAGCCUGGAGGAAAGAGGUAUGGUGUGGACACAUACAACAUGUUCCUUAACCAGGAAGGCGACUGGAGUCUUUACCCGGUUUCAAAGCAGCCAAGCCUAGAGGCCCCCACUCCUUGUUCUUUAUUAGAAUUGCCCUUUGACCCCAACCUCCCAAUUCUUUCCUCUCCAGAUCCCCAGCCAUGCAUACCCCAACCUGGUCCUACAAAGAAUACCCAGCUACAGUUGUGAACUUAGGGAAACACAUUCAUUUUCUUUCUUUCUUUCUUUCUUUUUUUUUUUUGAGAGGGAGUCUCACUCUGUCACCCAGGCUGAGGUGCAUUGGCGUGAUCUUGACUCACUGCAACCUCCACCUCCCAGGUUCAAGCAAUUCUUCUGCCUAAGCCUCCCGUGUAGCUGGGACUACAGGCGUGCACCACCACGCCCAGCUAAUUUUUGUAUUUUUAGUAGAGACGGGGUUUCACCAUCUCUGCUGGCGAGACGGGGUUUCACCAUCCGCUGGCCAGGCUGGUCUCAAACUCACGACCUCAGGUGAUCUGCCCGCCUUGGCCUCCCAAAGUGCUGGGAUUACAGGUGUG